rnacentral:rRNA from 1 species
GACGAACGCUGGCGGCGUGCCUAACACAUGCAAGUCGAACGGACAGGCCCUGCUCUUGUGGGGUGCUCGAGUGGCGAACGGGUGAGUAACACGCGAGUAACCUGCCCUUGUCUUUGGGAUAACUUCAGGAAACUGGGGCUCAUAUCGGAUAGGAGCUCCUGCUGCAUGGUGGGGGUUGGAAAGUUUCGGCGGUUCGGGAUAGACUCGCGGGUUAUCCGCUAGUUGGUGGGGUAGUGGCUUACGAAGGCUUUGACGGGUAGCCGGCAUGAGAGGGGGGACGGCGACAAGAGGACUGAGGGACGGACCAGACGGGUACGGGAGGCAGCGGUGGGGAAUAUUGCACAAUGGGCGGAAGCCUGAUGCAGCGACGCCGCGUGCGGAAUGACGGCCUUCGGGUUGUAAACCGCUGUCGCCUGUGACGAAGCGUGAGUGACGGUAAUGGGUAAAAAAGCACCGGCUAACUACGUG